UCCCUCUUCCCCUUCCUAGAUCGACGCCCCUUCCUCUCCUGAUCAGGAUCAACACAUGACGCCCUUGCUUCUCCGUCCAACCACACCGCAUCUCCUCCAACUCCUCCCUUUGGGUGAGAAGAGGAGCCCUUCUUCGCUUUACCGAGGUUACCAUGGGACUGCGACCUUGAUUCCGGAUAAAAGAUUUAUUUUUUUUAAUCUUCUAUUACUGUUUCAGAUCCCCAUUUUUAACUAGGGUUGGAGUUGGGGAUCAGAUCUGUGGGUUUUAGGAGAAUGCCAUUGACAUUGCUUCAGGUGAGGCAUUUUUAGGGUUGCACAGAUGAGAAGAGUCUAAUAGAGUUGGAUAGAUGGGCGAUGAACUCAACGUUCCUCUUGGUUGAGAGUUUCGGAUGUCUGCUACUGGACUCGGAAACCAAGCUGCAAAGUUUUUUCCUACUUAGCCUGUUUCUUUUGGUUUUCUGUAGAUUUGUCGAUUUCGUUAGCAAUUUAAGAAGAUAGGCUUAACAUCGACCAAGACACUCUAAAAUCAAGCUGGUGGCUGAAGGAUUCUUAGUUUCUACUUGAUUCUGUUUGAGAGUUUUUGUUUUGAGCUUUCUUUGCUUAGGACGUACAAGAUGGCAUGCAUGAAACUGGGAUCAAAACCCGAUGCCUUCCACCAACAAGGGCAAGCUUGUUUCCUUUGUUAUCAAAAAGUAGCCUUUUGGAAAGGUUAAUUAAGAACUCUGAUGAAGAGGAUAUUGUGACAAGACUGGCUGAUGUUCCUGGUGGUGCACAAGCAUUUGAACUUGUGGCUAAGUUCUGAACUUGUGGCUAAGUUCUUCAUAACAUUGCUGUUGCAGAAUACUUUCGAGAUGGUUGCACUGAUCCUAGGAAUCUCCUUGAUGCAUUAAACAAGGUUAAAGUAAAUUUACUGAAUCACAGGAGCAGAGUGAAGAGCUUGCGCAUACUUUUGUGAACCAGACUGACUCUGAGAAUAGCUGCCUAGGCUAUAUGGUUUCAGGGUCUAAAGCUAAUAGUGCUUUAAUUCAUCAAAGUGCUGCUAGAAAUAGCAGUAGAGUUGUCCAUGCCCAAGAGUUUGAUGUUUCAGUAACAAUGCUGAAUAUUGUAAUCAUUCUCUACCAUAUCCAUGAGUAUGCACAGUCAUUAUCUGUUCCCAAAAAGUUGUUCCAGAAUAUCAAGCCAAUUGAAGAGUUUACAAACCUCAAGUACUCCAGAGUUGAAAUUGAUGAAGUGCGGUUCAAGUGGGCUGAAUGCAUGCUAGAUUACAUUUGAGUAGGAAAGGUAUUUGAUUUUUGAAAACUUUGGAUGAAGCAUGCAUUUGCAUGGAAUGUAAAUUAUGGAUAUUGUUCCAUGCCAAUUUCUUUCUGAUGGUGAUAUUCUAGGACUUCUGUAAUAUGUAUAAUUCUUCUAUUUUUGUUCUUUGCUGUUGUUAAGUAGACCAAAUGAUACUUUGUUUGAUA